AAUUAUUGACACCUUUAUGCGCAUUUUACGGCGAAGCUUUCUGGCUGAUCAAAGAUAUCCUGCUCACGCGACGUAUUAUCAGGAAAGAUUCGCUCACGCGAGGAUAUUCUAUUGUUCUGGUGCGACGGGGACUGGUAACGAUUUCGUGGCGAGGAUUUAUCGAUCGUCUCAUCAUCGCCGCGUUAAAUGUCUUUGCCGAUCGCUGCGUCAAGAUCGUUGGAUCGUGAAAAGAGCGUGAUCGAUCGUUCGUUCACGAUCGCGAGAAGCUUCGUUUCGCUGGCCACGUUCUGUUUCUCUUUCCAUCGGUACCAACACCUUAACGAACGAGGAAUUCCUUUUGUACCCCUGCCGUGCUACCGGUUCUUAUUGUCCCACACCUCGCUUUUAUUCUUCCCUUUUGUCAAGGUUUUUUCGAUGUUGUAGCCGGUCGCGCUUUCAGACGCGUCGUUUUAUUUCAGCAAGGAAAUUUGUAUGCCAGCUGGUCCCAGCAUGAAUGGCGACAGGACACUUUUAAACUCACCACUCGAUGCACUGCUUCAUGCUCGAUCCGACGAGUAUAACAGCAUCGUUCACCUGCCAGACUUGCCGGCUCGUGUUCAUCCCGUUCAGAUCAUUAUCGGCAUUGCAAUUAAAAUUUUAUGAUCGAUUCUUCCUGUCUUUCGGGUAGACACUUGGAUUGGACAAGGUAGACACUUGGAGAUCAAGUAUCAGAUUGGUUGACGAAGAAGUUUCGAUAGAGAAACGCGAUGGAAUCGAUGCAGAGGGUAACUGUGCAAGGUGUGCGGUGUAUAACCCGGUGUUCAAGGCAACCACCACCCAUCAACCGCGAGUACUCGCAGCAGCGACACGCGGAGUGACAAGCACACCACCACCACCAACUAUGACCACCACCACCACCAGCACCACUACCACCGGUAACACCAGCACCAGUAGCAACAGCAGCGUCAGACGGGACACGGUGAAGAGGAAAAGGAAUGCAUCGAUUAGCCAUUACGAAGGGACUUACCCGAGCAGCAACCAGCGGAUCUUCUUCAUUGCUGAGUGAUCAGGC